rnacentral:rRNA from 1 species
AGGCUUAACACAUGCAAGUCGAGGGGCAGCAUGGUCUUAGCUUGCUAAGACUGAUGGCGACCGGCGCACGGGUGAGUAACACGUAUCCAACCUGCCGUCUACUCUUGGACAGCCUUCUGAAAGGAAGAUUAAUACAAGAUGGCAUCAUGAGUCCGCAUGUUCACAUGAUUAAAGGUAUUCCGGUAGACGAUGGGGAUGCGUUCCAUUAGAUAGUAGGCGGGGUAACGGCCCACCUAGUCUUCGAUGGAUAGGGGUUCUGAGAGGAAGGUCCCCCACAUUGGAACUGAGACACGGUCCAAACUCCUACGGGAGGCAGCAGUGAGGAAUAUUGGUCAAUGGGCGAGAGCCUGAACCAGCCAAGUAGCGUGAAGGAUGACUGCCCUAUGGGUUGUAAACUUCUUUUAUAAAGGAAUAAAGUCGGGUAUGCAUACCCGUUUGCAUGUACUUUAUGAAUAAGGAUCGGCUAACUCCGUGCCAGCAGCCGCGGUAAUACGGAGGAUCCGAGCGUUAUCCGGAUUUAUUGGGUUUAAAGGGAGCGUAGAUGGAUGUUUAAGUCAGUUGUGAAAGUUUGCGGCUCAACCGUAAAAUUGCAGUUGAUACUGGAUAUCUUGAGUGCAGUUGAGGCAGGCGGAAUUCGUGGUGUAGCGGUGAAAUGCUUAGAUAUCACGAAGAACUCCGAUUGCGAAGGCAGCCUGCUAAGCUGCAACUGACAUUGAGGCUCGAAAGUGUGGGUAUCAAACAGGAUUAGAUACCCUGGUAGUCCACACGGUAAACGAUGAAUACUCGCUGUUUGCGAUAUACUGCAAGCGGCCAAGCGAAAGCGUUAAGUAUUCCACCUGGGGAGUACGCCGGCAACGGUGAAACUCAAAGGAAUUGACGGGGGCCCGCACAAGCGGAGGAACAUGUGGUUUAAUUCGAUGAUACGCGAGGAACCUUACCCGGGCUUAAAUUGCAGAUGAAUUACGGUGAAAGCCGUAAGCCGCAAGGCAUCUGUGAAGGUGCUGCAUGGUUGUCGUCAGCUCGUGCCGUGAGGUGUCGGCUUAAGUGCCAUAACGAGCGCAACCCUUGUUGUCAGUUACUAACAGGUUCCGCUGAGGACUCUGACAAGACUGCCAUCGUAAGAUGUGAGGAAGGUGGGGAUGACGUCAAAUCAGCACGGCCCUUACGUCCGGGGCUACACACGUGUUACAAUGGGGGGUACAGAGGGCCGCUACCACGCGAGUGGAUGCCAAUCCCCAAAACCUCUCUCAGUUCGGACUGGAGUCUGCAACCCGACUCCACGAAGCUGGAUUCGCUAGUAAUCGCGCAUCAGCCACGGCGCGGUGAAUACGUUCCCGGGCCUUGUACACACCGCCCGUCAAGCCAUGGGAGCCGGGGGUACCUGAAGUGCGUAACCGAGAGGAGCGCCCUAGGGUAAAACUGGUGACUGGGGCUAAGU